UACAGGGGGGGCAAGCGUUGUUCGGAAUUAUUGGGUUUAAAGGGUGCGUAGGCGGCCCUGUAAGUCAGUGCUGAAAUAUCCCAGCUUAACUGGGAGGGUGGCAUUGAUACUGCGGGGCUAGAGUACAGAUGAGGUAGGCGGAAUUGACGGUGUAGCGGUGAAAUGCUUAGAUAUCGUCAAGAACACCUAUAGCGAAGGCAGCUUACUAGGCUGUAACUGACGCUGAGGCACGAAAGUGUGGGGAUCAAACAGG
rnacentral:rRNA from 1 species